GAUAGGUAUGGGAUCUCAGGGGGACGGUGGUGGGAGUGGUGGAGCCCACACUCAUACUCAAGACUCCCAAUCGAGUGCAUUGGUUAGGCAGGGCUCACUCUACAGCCUAACUCUUGAUGAGGUUCAGCAUCAAUUAGGGCAUUUGGGGAAGCCUCUCAGCAGCAUGAAUCUUGAUGAGCUUCUCAAGACUGUAUGGACUGCUGAGGCGAGUCAAGGGGAAGGGGGAACUGAUUUUGGAGUUGCCCAGCCCGGUGACUCCAGCCUCCCGCUAUCUGGGGAUCUUAGCAAGAAGACUGUUGAUGAGGUGUGGCAGGAUAUUCAGCAGGGGCAGAAGAGGAGUGACCUUGAUAGGAAAGCUACUCUGGGUGAGAUGACGCUCGAGGACUUCUUGGUUAAGGCUGGGAUAGUCGCUGAGUCAUCACCGGGAAACAAAAAUUUGGCAGAUUCGAUGGUGUUGCUAGAGCAGAAUGCGGUACAGCAGCCAACUCAAUGGACGCAUUAUCAGAUCCCAACAAUUCAUCAGUCACAGCAGCCACCACCUCCACAGCAACAACUGCCAAAUAUGCUGCCUGUUUACGUGACAGGCCAGCCUCUACCUGUUGUACCAAACCCAAUCAUGGAUACAAGUUUUCCCGAGACACAGGUGGCCAUGUCCCCAACUAUGAUGGGAACACUAUCGGACACUCAAGCACCUGGAACAAAGCGAACUGCCCCAGACACUGUGGUUGAGAAAAGUGCUGAAAGGAGGCAGAAAAGGAUGAUAAAAAACAGGGAGUCUGCAGCUCGGUCACGAGCAAGGAAGCAGGCUUACACCCAUGAGCUGGAGAACAAGGUUUCUCGUUUAGAAGAAGAGAAUGAAAGGCUUAAAAAACAGAAGGUUUGAGAGAUCUUCAGCAGAUGUCCAUGGGAGAAUAUCCUGACAAAGAGGGGACAAAAGAUUUUGAUCGAGAGAGAGAAUGGAAGGAAAGUAUCAAUUGGUCAAACCUUCAGCUGAAUUUACUUUGUCCUUUCAUUUGAUGGCAAUUCCACAGAAUCAGUGGAGGACUAAAUUGGGAGAAGGAGAUGGCGCUGCCUUAUGUUCCACCUCCAGAGCCCAAAUAUCAGCUGCGCAGAACAAGUUCAGCCCCUUUCUGACAACUGGUUUCGUGAAUGAUAACAGUAUAUAGAUGCAUAGAAUUCUUGUGUCACUAAAACAACUUUCAUAAAUUAGUGUUCCUCCUUACACCCCUUGUACCUGCCUGGACAACUGCAUGAGAUUUGCAUUGGAUCGUCGUCCUCUGGAACCUUCGUUGGUUUCGCCUUUGGCUUUCCCUGCCUUUCUCUUGAUUAAUUUCUUUCUUGUAUGUACAUUACAUAGUUUAAACUUGAAGAUCAUAGUUUUGGUAGCUCUUUUGUUACUUAUUGCAAAUGCUUUGUAGGAUCAAAUUCCUCCCUCCUGUAUAAUGAAAGUUUUGGAAGCCGUUUUGACAAGUUUA